rnacentral:tRNA from 1 species
GUGGAUGUAGCUCAAUGGUAGAGCAUUAGUCUGUGGAACUAAAGGUUGCGGGUUCGAUCCCCGUCAUCCACC